CCUACGGGUUGCAGCAGGCGCGAAACCUUCACAAUGUGCGAAAGCACGAUGAGGGGAUCCCAAGUGCUGGUUCGUAGGAGUCAGCUGCUUCUUUGUCUAAAAAACAGAGAGAGUAAGGGCUGGGUAAGACGGGUGCCAGCCGCCGCGGUAAUACCUGCAGCUCAAGUGGUGGCCGCUAUUAUUGGGCCUAAAACGUUCGUAGCCGGUUUAGUAAAUGCUUGGGUAAAUUGUGUCGCUUAACGAUACGAAUACCGGGUAGACUGCUAAACUUGGGACCGGGAGAGGCUAGAGGUACUCCUGGGGUAGAGGUGAAAUUCUGUAAUCCUGGGGGGACCACCAGUGGCGAAGGCGUCUAGCCAGAACGGGUCUGACGGUGAGGGACGAAGCCCUGGGGCGCAAACCGGAUUAGAUACCCCUGUAGUC
rnacentral:rRNA from 1 species